ACACAGUAUUAACCCUCACUGAAAGCAGUCAAAUAUACUGUGCAUGACUUGGAAGACAUUAGAGAUGUCAUUUCAAGGAUCUUCAUUUUCUUCUGCCUCUUCUUAGUUUUUUAACAAUAAAGAGGGAAGAGUAUGCGAAAUCUUCUCAGCCUUUCCAUCGUACAGGGCUGCAGCUCGCGCAUUCCUGAGCACGUUACGCACCUCCUGUGAUUUGGCUGGGACAUGCACAGUUCUUAAGAAGCUCUGGGACACAUCCCAAUCCUACUGCGCUCAUCAUCCACUCAACACCUGAAUUAACACAGACAUUGGUUUCUGUCCACAGAUUAUUGGAGCAGUGGAUUCGUGCAGCCGUUUGUGCAGUGGCUCCACGAGCAGGAAGCAAACAGCAGUUUCAUUUCAUGCCACGACGUCCUACAGCUACUUGCCUUCAAGUCUCUCAGCUCGCUUUCAAGCCAGGUGCAGCCCGUCGUGGAGUUCAGACACCGUUUCCUCCUCCGAGCCGUUAAAAAAAAAAAAAAAAAAGAGUAUUUCUGAAUCAACCUAAAGAGCUGUUGCUGUGAAACAUUGUCUGUUUUGAAGAACUAAGAACCACAAUCAGCCACCUCACAAACUACUCACUGUUGAUGGAUUGUUACAUGAAAUGCAAAAAGAAGAAAAAUAGUAAUUUUCAUGGUAAUUCAUUUCUACAGACACUUUCAUUUCAUAAAUUUAUGUCCUGCAGUGAUGCCAGACUGAGAUUUGGAUCUCCAGCAGCUGUGUGAAUUGAGUGGCUUCUGUGUUUCUGUGCAACUUGGCCAUUUAUGCCUUCGUUGACACUUCAGGCUUACGAUAACAAAAUGCACUCACCACAAAUCUCAGGCAUAUUUGCUGCCCCAGGCAGAGAGUAGCAGUUGUGUUACCCAAGCUGGGAUUAUGGCCUCCAGCUUUCACGUUGGUGGCUGUUCUGAAAGAGUUAUGUGGAAAGUUUAGCAUAUUAAAACAUAUACUAAACCACACGGUAGACCAUACUGUGGGUGUUACAGUUGACCAGUUUGAUUAAAGGACUGAGAUCCUAUGCUAAAAGCAGAGGAAGGGAAAGGGAAGGAAAGGCUGGAGAUGGUUGUAGUUGUGACGUGAGGCGCUGUGCGGUGGUACCCUGUCAUCCCAUCCCCUGGCACACAACCUGGACUACGGUCAUUAGUGCUAAUGGGACGGGGAUAACCACUGCCUUGUCCAGCUGCUAAUUCUGUUAAUGCUUUGACUGCUACUUACUGCACCUGGAUUAUAUCCCACACUGGAGGAUAAAAAUGUGAAAGAAGCUCUACAGGAAGCAGAUGUGAAAUAUUCCAAUAAUAUAUAUUUAAAAAAUCAGUUUAAAGCUUGAAACAGCAGG
rnacentral:lncRNA from 1 species